AAUACAAGGGAUUUUGAGUUUUUGCUUGCAACGUUUGACCAUUCGUCUUAUUCAAUUUUUUUUGAAAUUAUUAUUUAUUUUAUUUGUGACUUACUUUAUUAUCUACAGUAUUUUAAGCACAACUUUUUGUUUUUUAUAUUUGCAAAAAAAAAUUAAAUAAGACGAGUGGUCAAACGUUGCAAUUAAAAAAUUAAAAUCGCUUAUACU
rfam:Oryza barthii chromosome 3, whole genome shotgun sequence.